rnacentral:rRNA from 1 species
GACGAACGCUGGCGGCGUGCUUAACACAUGCAAGUCGAACGCUGAAGCACCAGCUUGCUGGUGUGGAUGAGUGGCGAACGGGUGAGUAAUACGUGAGUAACCUGCCCUUGACUCUGGGAUAAGCCCGGGAAACUGGGUCUAAUACUGGAUGCUACAUGUCACCGCAUGGUGGUGUGUGGAAAGGGUUUACUGGUCUUGGAUGGGCUCACGGCCUAUCAGCUUGUUGGUGAGGUAAUGGCUCACCAAGGCGACGACGGGUAGCCGGCCUGAGAGGGUGACCGGCCACACUGGGACUGAGACACGGCCCAGACUCCUACGGGAGGCAGCGGUGGGGAAUAUUGCACAAUGGGCGAAAGCCUGAUGCAGCGACGCCGCGUGAGGGAUGACGGCCUUCGGGUUGUAAACCUCUUUCAGCAGGGAAGAAGCCACAAGUGACAGUACCUGCAGAAGAAGCGCCGGCUAACUACGUG